rnacentral:rRNA from 1 species
AUUGAACGCUGGCGGCAUGCCUUACACAUGCAAGUCGAACGGCAGCACGGACUUCGGUCUGGUGGCGAGUGGCGAACGGGUGAGUAAUGUAUCGGAACGUACCUUUCAGUGGGGGAUAACGUAGCGAAAGUUACGCUAAUACCGCAUAUUCUGUGAGCAGGAAAGCAGGGGAUCGCAAGACCUUGCGCUGAUUGAGCGGCCGAUAUCAGAUUAGCUAGUUGGUGAGGUAAAGGCUCACCAAGGCGACGAUCUGUAGCGGGUCUGAGAGGAUGAUCCGCCACACUGGAACUGAGACACGGUCCAGACUCCUACGGGAGGCGGCAGUGGGGAAUUUUGGACAAUGGGGGGCAACCCUGAUCCAGCCAUGCCGCGUGAGUGAAGAAGGCC